UACAGAGGGUGCAAGCGUUGUUCGGAAUUAUUGGGCGUAAAGCGCGUGUAGGCGGCUUUGCAAGUCGGAUGUGAAAGCCCUCGGCUCAACCGAGGAAGUGCGUUCGAAACUGCAGAGCUUGAGUACCGGAGAGGGUGGCGGAAUUCCCCAAGUAGAGGUGAAAUUCGUAGAUAUGGGGAGGAACACCGGUGGCGAAGGCGGCCACCU
rnacentral:rRNA from 1 species